AUCAAUGUUACAAUUUCGCACUCAACAAUGUAACUGUUAUGUAACACCACGUGUUGUAUUACAUUUAUAUUAAAUGUGAAAUUAUA